rnacentral:tRNA from 1 species
GCACCCGUAGCUCGAAGGUCGAGCAGGUGGCUCAUAACCGCUCGGUUCUGGUUCGAUUCCAGACGGGUGCA